GCUGGGCAGGGUGGUGCACCCCUGUAAUCCCAGCUGCUCAGGAGGCUGAGGCAGGAGGAUUGUGAGUUCAAAGCCAUCCUCACCAAAAGUGAGGUGCUAAGCAAUUCAGUUAGACUCUGUCUCUA
rnacentral:sRNA from 1 species